AGCCUUCUGUAGCUUUGCUGAUAUUUCGCCACACACCAAACCACAAGGGCUGAUGAGACUUCCAAGAUAAGUGAAGCG
rnacentral:pre_miRNA from 1 species